rnacentral:tRNA from 1 species
GCAAUAGUAGCUCAGUG